rnacentral:rRNA from 1 species
UACGGAGGGGGCGAGCGUUAUUCGGAAUUAUUGGGCGUAAAGGGCGCGUAGGCGGCCCGGUAAGUCAAAGGUGAAAUCCCUCGGCUCAACUGAGGAACUGCCCUUGAAACUGUCGGGCUUGAGGCCGGGAGGGGGUAGCGGAAUUCCCAGUGUAGCGGUGAAAUGCGUAGAUAUUGGGAGGAACACCAGUGGCGAAGGCGGCUACCUGGACCGGUUCUGACGCUGAGGCGCGAAAGCGUGGGUAGCAAACAGG